CAGCCGCCGCGGGAAUACGAAGGGGGCUAGCGUUGUUCGGAAUUACUGGGCGUAAAGCGUGCGUAGGCGGUGAGUUAAGUCUGCUGUGAAAUCCCCGGGCUCAACUUGGGAAUGGCAGUGGAUACUGGCUCGCUAGAGUGUGUCAGAGGAUGGUGGAAUUCCCGGUGUAGCGGUGAAAUGCGUAGAGAUCGGGAGGAACAUCAGUGGCGAAGGCGGCCAUCUGGGACAACACUGACGCUGAGGCACGAAAGCGUGGGGAGCAAACAGGAUUAGAUACCCCCGUAGUCCCUGUCUCUUAUAC
rnacentral:rRNA from 1 species